rnacentral:rRNA from 1 species
UCAGGUGCCUACAGCGGCGGUGUCCACCUCUUCCCAUCCCGAACAGAGAAGUUAAGCCCGCCUGCGCCGAUGGUACUGCGGUAACACGUGGGAGAGUAGGUCGGUGCCGGAU